rnacentral:tRNA from 1 species
GGAGGACUAGUCCUAAUUGGUAAGGCAGCGGUCUUGAAAACCGCCGUGUUCACGCACUUGGGGGUUCGAGUCCCUCGUCCUCCG